rnacentral:rRNA from 1 species
UUAAAUGGCCGCGGUAUCCUAACCGUGCGAAGGUAGCAUAAUCACUUGUUUACUAAAUAUAGACUUGUAUGAACGGCACCACGAGGGCUACACUGUCUCCCCCCUUUAAUCAGUAAAACUGAUCCCCCCGUGAAGAAGCGGGGAUUAAUAUAUAAGACGAGAAGACCCCAUGGAGCUUCAAACUAAGAACCAACUGCCAAAUCUAAUAUCACUUUACACUGCAGCCAUGAGUCAAAGUUUUCGGUUGGGGCGACCGCGGAGCACAACAAAACCUCCACGAUGAACAAACAUAAAACUCUUACCCAAGAACCACAACACAAAGGACCACUAACGUGACACCCAUUGACCCAAAUAAUUGAUCAACGAACCUAGUUACCCUGGGGAUAACAGCGCAAUCCAUUUCAAGAGCUCAUAUCGACAAAUGGGUUUACGACCUCGA